rnacentral:rRNA from 1 species
UACGUAGGGGGCAAGCGUUGUCCGGAAUCAUUGGGCGUAAAGAGCGUGUAGGCGGUUCGGUAAGUCCGCUGUGAAAGUCCAGGGCUCAACCCUGGAAAGCCGGUGGAAACUGUCGAGCUAGAGUCCGGAAGAGGCGAGUGGAAUUCCUGGUGUAGCGGUGAAAUGCGCAGAUAUCAGGAGGAACACCGAUGGCGAAGGCAGGUCACUGGGCCGCAACUGACGCUGAGGAGCGAAAGCAUGGGGAGCGAACAGG